UACGUAGGGUGCAGGCGUUAAUCGGAAUUACUGGGCGUAAAGCGUGCGUAGGCGGUUUGUUAAGACAGGUGUGAAAUCCCCGGGCUUAACCUGGGAACUGCGCUUGUUACUGGCAGACUGGAGUGUGGCAGAGGGGGGUGGAAUUCCAGGUGUAGCAGUGAAAUGCGUAGAUAUCUGGAGGAACACCGAUGGCGAAGGCAGCCCCCUGAGCUAACACUGACGCUGAUGCACGAAAGCGUGGGGAGCAAACAGG
rnacentral:rRNA from 1 species